GGCAGACAGAAGAACCCUCAGGUGCAUAAUCAGCUUGGAGGGAGUUUCAGCAAUUAGUGUCCCAGUCCCAUGCUCAAACUGAAUGUGUUGCAGUGUGUAUGCUGAGCAGACUUCCCAGGCAGGAGACUCAGCAAAGCAGGAAAUCCUGACCUGCAGGAUAUUGACAGAUGUGACAUGCUUGCUGAGGAGCCGAAAUCAGUAAAAAGGUGACAGGUCUGACACAUGGACGGAUGGGGGAGACUGAGGAGGAUCCCGAAUAUGAUGAGUGAUGAAGCUGACAGCAUCCUGGCAGUGUACCAACAAGAAGCAAUCAGUGUCAACUCUAGAGAUUUUCUGUCUGAAUCCACCUGCGUUCUGUCUGCAAUGCUGUUUUUGGAAACUCAAACCCCCCCACCCCCCUGUUGAACCCUAUUGCCUUGUCCUCAAUGAGAGCAUCAUAACAGGCAGCAACGCCAAAACGCAGUCAAGCGAGACCGCCAUCGUCGCAAGUGCUGGCCAGUGAAGACCCUGACAACACCACAUAAGCAUAUUAUUGGUCAUGCACAUUAGACACCACAUUGGACAUGCGGACCCUGGGUCCAGAGUCCCAGCCAGAGAAGCCGGUGUUACACAGUAUACCGGUGUUACACAGUAUACAAUGUAUUACACAGAAACCUGUUUUUUUUCCUUUUUUUUAUUUUUCAAUAAAAACUGUAUACAUGAUUUUAAAUCCAUAUCUGUUGCACAGAUCAGCUUCGAGCACUGCUUUUUAAUGUGCAAUAUGUUGUGGUAUUUUUAGUAUAUACAUUGAAGUGCAAUUAGUA